CCGCAAGGUAUUAGUGGCGACCGGGUGCGUAACACGUAGCUGACCUGCCCCUCAGCGGGGGACAACAGUUCGAAAGGACUGCUAAUACCGCAUAAUUUCGGAGCAAUUAGAAAACUCUGAAUAAACUUACGGGGCUGAGGGAGGGAGCUGCGGCCCAUCAGGUAGUUGGUGAGGUAACGGCUCACCAAGCCGACGACGGGUAGGGGGCCUGAGAGGGUGGUCCCCCACACUGGAACCGACAAACGGUCCAG
rnacentral:rRNA from 1 species